AAGUCCAAAGAACACACCAGACAGGUCAAUGAUAGCCCCUGAUGAAGUCACGUGGAGUGUGAUGAAACGUGUAGGGCGGGUACCUUGGGUUGGAAUGGAGGGGGGGAGUAUGGAGAGAGGACUGCUUUAGGGGACAGGACUGAUCUGUCCGGGUGGGGAUGUGGCCAAUGAUAGCCGCAUGUUGAGAGAAACGGGUGGGAGAGCUGGUGUAAAGCGUGCAGCCUUUAAACUAAUGUACUAACUAAAGUAGUGUGCAGCGCUGAACGUGAAGCGCCGCUCCUGGUAGAACCGGAAACUCUGCAGCUAACUGUUUCUUCAAGCAGAGAGAUCCAUUCCUGUUUGGUCGGUGGGGAUUUAUCCUUCCAUUUUUUUGGUAUGGUGGCUUUUGCGGCUUGCAACAUAAAUAGGAGCAGUCGAUUUUUGAUGGUCGAUGAGGAUUGUGUAUCAUAGUGGAGAGUCAGCUUGGGUAAGAAAUUUGUGGAUAGGUUUUCCUGCGUGACCUUUUCCGUGAUUGUGGUGACAUCUUUCCAGUAGUCUUUUAGUACUUCGCAAUGGUACCAAAUGUGGCUAUAAGUGCCUUGAUGAUGGAGACAUCUCCAACAGCUGUCUUGGGCUGUGGGGAACAUUUGUUUCAAUCUGGUUGGGGUGUAGUACCAUCGGGUAAUUAGUUUGUAUGUGAAUUCUUGUGUUUUAGAUGCUGUGAAAGCUUUAUGUGUUGAAGUGUAGAUAUUUUUCCACUGUUCUGUUGGUAUUUUUAUGUUUAGUUCUUUCUCCCAGCUGGUUUGAUGUGGUUUUUUUAUCUCGUGGAGGGAGCAAAGGAGGUGUUUGUAUAGUUCUGACAGUGG